rnacentral:tRNA from 1 species
GCCACUGGGUGGCUCAGUAGUUAGAGCUUUGGGCUCGUAACCGAAAGGUUCUGAGUUCGAACCCCGCAAGGGCA